rnacentral:lncRNA from 1 species
GUCUUUUUGCCAUUUCUAGGGCCACUCCUGCAGCAUAUGGAGGUUCCUAAUCUAGGGGUCUAAUCGGAGCUGUAGCUGCCAGCCUACGCCAGAGCCACAGCAAUGUGGGAUCCGAGCCACGUCUGCGACCUACACCACAGCUCACAGCAAUGCUGGAUCCUUAACCCACUGAGCAAGGCCAGGGAUCAAAAUGGACAGCUCAUGGAUACUAGUCGGAUUCAUUAACCACUGAGUCAUGAUGGGAACUCCCUGAACAAAUUCUAUAAAAUCUGUACUCUUUGUCACAUGUGGCUACUGAAGUGUCUGCUUGCUUUGCUUAGCAGUCAGCUAAUAGCUGGACAAUUUGGACAGAGAUUUCCUUGAAUAAGUCAAGGAAACAAUAAGUCUCUCAGACUUUGCUGAAGGGGCAUCAGGGCUCCCUUCAACUCUGCCUUGGCCUUCAAUUCUUCCUUGUACAGAGUUCAAGGUCAGCCCGAGGUUAGGGGUUAGGGCCUUCUCAGACUUUUCCUGGGUGUGUGCCCACCCUUGUGCAUACACGUGGCUUUCUAGAUUCCCAGCAGUGAGCUGACACUUCCUGCUCUGGUGCCUGUCAAGUUGCUGUUUUUCAUGGCUAUUGCGACCGGCAUGCACUGAUUUUCAGGCCACUACGCUGUUGGGAGGAGGGAUGGAGUAGGCAAGUUAAGAUACUGUAAAGCUCCCGGUUCCAAGGACUCAGCCAUUUGAUUGAACUAACUAUUUUCAAAUUGUUGGAGGCCUUAGAUGAAUUUCCAGAGUUCUAAAAAAAAGGUGGGUUUUGACACGUUCUGCAAGCAUUCUUGCUUUUGUGGAGCAGCAGGGUUUGGGAGGUCCUAACUCCACCAUCCCGGGAAAUGCUUUUCUUCAGUCUUUAAAAAUUUCUCUCUCAGUUGAAGUAAAACCUGACAACCUUCCUUGCAAUAUCUGUGAGCUGCCGGGUGGGUUUUGUUCGCAUCUGUUCCCUUCAGUGAGGGUGUGUGGGGACCACGGCUUUAUGCAGAAGCGUCGGUCCAAACACGUGCCCCUUAGGUGCCUACAGGCUUCCCCCCUCCUGGGAGCCCAUUUCGAGGCCUUUUACACCAAGACCAGCAUCUGGGAGCCAGCCCUGGGGCCGCCCCAGCGUUAGCUCACUUUGGUGACCAUCUGGGGUUGUGUUGCUCAUCUGGGGCCCCUGAAAAUUUCCACUACUCCUCUGCAAGCUCAGCUCUCCAUCUAAAAGGUGUGCAUCUUACGUGCCUGGCAUUUCUAAGCUGUAUUUUUUUUUUUUUAAGCAGGAGUGUUCUCAGGUUAUCAUGACCGGACUCUUCCCGGGAAAAAGGGACACCCUCUAGGUAAACACUCACAUAAACACACACGUCUAGCUAACGGAACGCAACAGGGAGAAGCAAGGACCGCCCAGAAGCCGUGGUGAAGACGGACAGCAUGAGGGUCUUGCAAGCAGAGGAGCGAGUCUGACCUGGGCCCACGGGUCUCCAGGACCGCUUCGUCCACCUCUGGCCCCCACUGGAGGCUUAAUGUGGGGGAGGGAGUGUUGAGGGUGCAGCUACAGCCAGGACUAAGGGACCCUCUGUAGGCCCAGACUCUCUGUCCACCCACGCAGGGACCUAGUCUUCCUGCAGCAGCAGCCAGGAGCCUCCGGGACAUCCUAAGGCCCCAGGAACCUCCUCCUGGCAGCACUCAGAACUAGUGGCAGGUGCAUAGACCAAAGUUCUGUGGGAAGAAUGUCUGCUCACUACAGCAGGUGCCAGGAGAUGUUCAAGGAAGAGUUAGAGACUGAAUGUUUGUCCCCCGGCCCCAAAACAAAGCAGCAUAUGGUGGGAUCCGAAACCCCCUGGGAUGGCAUCGGAAUGCGAGGUCUCUGGGAGGUCAUGAGGUCAUGAGGGUUGAAGGUGCAGCUCGGAUCCAGUGUUGCCGUGGCUGUGGUGUAGGACUGCAGCGGUAGCUCCGAUUCAACCCCUAGCCCGGGAACUUCCUAUGCCACGGGCGCAGCCAUAAACAUUUUUAAAAAGGGGACUCCAGAGAGCUCUCCCACCUCCUCCUCCACGUGAGGGCGCAGGGAGAAGGCGGUCUGUGACCCAGGCGGUGUGUCCUCACCCGACACCGAAUCUGCGGACACCUUGACCUCGGCCUCAGACUGUGCAGAUUGCUGGCCGGGAGGCUCCCUGGACGGUACAUGAAGUCAAGGGCAACUGGAAGCAAUGCUCUGGAGAAGGAGGCUGCCCGGAUCUGGAUGGUGUGGCACGUGGGAGGACCGGAGGAUCCAUGGUCAGAGGCGACGUGGUCCACGACUCCUUAGUGGGAUUUGAUCGCAAGGAGCAGGUGCAAAGACGUGUGUACUGGGAUGCCCAACGCAGCGCUGGCCGUAACUGCAGGAAGUUACCCACUCUCUGGAGGCCAAGUGGAUCACUUCAGGUAAGCCCACACUCAGAAAACGCCGCAUUUGCCCGUCAUUCUGCGGAGAUGUUCGUGGGCUCCUGCGAGGUGACAGUGAAUCGGGAGGGUGUUCACGUGGGGUCCUGCCGCCUGGCUCCCUUCCAGCUCAGCCACAGGUCAGGGGGCCCGAUCCAGGGCAUUAGAGCCACCUGACAAAGCUGCAGACCUUGGGCUGUUUCAGAGGGGCCCCUGGGCUUUCUGGGGACAUCAAGCUUUCCCUGUGCCCCGUCUCCAGCAGCCACUCUGCCGCAAUCUUGGGGGAGGACCCUGGCUGUGGCUGCAUGCACAGGGCGGGGGCUGAAGGCGAGGGGACCUGAGCCCUGGAGUUCGGCCCACAGCUCAGUCUCCUGGCUGCCCCCACCCAGUGACCCCAAGCCCGCCACCUGCAACCGCAUCCCCUGGCGGUGGGUGUGCUGCUCCCCACCCCAUCCCCAACACAGACCUCUGUAAUCGACCAGGUCGAGGCUGAGGGGGAAAUGCCGCAAGUCAGAGAGCCAGUGUGUGGGGUGAGCAGACAACUGGGGGGUGACAUGGCUCCUGUCCCAGGGCCCCCGCUCCAUGCUGCUCCUUCCCCGCGCCAUGCUGGAAACUGCUGCCUUGUCCCUGGGGUCUCAGCUCACUGGUUACACCCUGACCACGGGAUUUAACCCGUCCUUCAGCCCAGUCUGUCCAUUUCUUCACAGCACACUCCUGCUCUGACACCCUCUGGACGGGUAGUUGUCAUCCCCCUCCCCCGCCCAGUGUCCCCAGCUCACUCAGCCCCACUGGAGACCAGGCCCUCGGGAGAGUUGGGGGAUGGUGGAGGGUGUGGGGGACCCCGGCCUCGCCCCCACUGUCUUUUCAACAACAUCCCUGAGGCCUCGGCCACCGGAGGACGCAGGCAGGGAAGGAGGUUGGUCCUGCGCUGUGGGCCAGAUGGGGAGCAGUGCUGUCCCCGCGUGCAGACCCGGUCCUGGGCACCCGGCCUCCGCCUCGCUCCCGGGCCUCUCGGUCGGCGUGGCCAGCUAACCGAGCUUGCUGAUAGCUUGGGAACGUGGUGAUAAGGGCUGAGCAUGGGGAAUGGUUACCUCCUGGCUCUUGUGAGAAUCACCAGGGUGGCUGUUUCAAGUGUCUGCCCCCAAUUUUCCAGCGGUCCCUCCCUUGGGAGUCUGGGCAGACAGGCAGGGGCGCGGCGGCGAAGGGGGCCGCUUUCCAUUUUUAGGUUGAAUUCCUUUCUGGAAAGCUGCAGGCAUGUCUCUGGCAUGAGUGCCCCGGGGCUGGGGGUGUGCAGCACUCUCCCUGGCCGGGCCCCCCGUGGCUCACGUUCCUCCUUGUCUGCCUCCUUCAGCCGGGAACGGGUGAGUGCCUGGACCCCAGGGUGCCCUGCGUUUGAGGCUCCCAUGAGGGAAACACCAGCCACGAACAUCCCACACCACGGAGCUCAGGACCGCCAGCAAGUGCCUGAGGUGGGCACAUGCAGGUGGGAUGGCUGGGUUCACAAACGCAAAAUCAGGAUGCCCAGUGAGAUCUGAAUUUCAGAGAAACGGGGAGUGCUUCGUGCCAGCGAGCCCCCCGGCGUGCGCAGUCCCGCCUCGCCAGCGGAGGCUGAUGUCAGAGAAGCUGCCCCUGGGCACGCUGGGUAAGUGGCCACACGGGUGAACGCUGGGGGGCAAGCUCAGGGGAUGCCCCCAAAGGCGUGGCUCUAGAUGCACUGUCCAGAGACUGCCACGGGCGCCAGCCUGAACCCGCAAGUCCAGCCACGCAGCCACCAGCCGCAUGUGGCUACUGCCCACUGGCCUGGGGCACUGAGCCUUUCAUUCUACUGUGUGUCAGGGGACAUGGUCACAGGAGGCUGUGGCCAAGUCACUGGGCAGCACAGGUGUAGGGGUGGUCCCGGAGGCCCCUCUGAGCUUUUGUGCAGACAUCUGGAAAUCUGGAGGAAAUUAUCUCCCAACUGGGGAGAUGAAGCCCCCCCCAACCCUGAGGAACUGGGGGAAGGCCAGUGAGGGGACCAGGGGGCAGGGGAGGGAGACAGGAGGGGACAGCAGGCAGGUCCAGCCCCCCUCAGGCCACUGGACACAGUCUGGACGUGCAUUCUAUUCCUAGUAAUGGGUCAAGCGGUAACUCCACAAGCUGUUCUGGGCAUUUUCACCGUCCUUCCGGCUGUGGCUUCGCCCUGCCUGUCUGGUGCAGCGGGUUUGAUUGAUUGCUUGCUGUGCCCACCGACCCAGCUGCCGUGUCCUGAUCCCCGAGAUGGUCGUCAGCCUGAAAGUCCCAGAGAAGGGGACUUGGGGAGGAGGUUUCUUGGCACCAGGCCAGGAAACCCCAGGGGUGGGAGGCGCCAGGCUCUCUGCUCAGACCCCCCACCCACCCCCCGCCCCCCGCCAGACUGCAGACCCUCCAUUCUGCUCUGCGCUGGGCAGCUCCUCCCAGGUACCCUGGAAGGUCUCCCUCUUGACAGGGUGACAGCGGUUAAAUCUCGUCCCCAGCCUGACACCCUGUAUCUGUUGCCAGUUACAGGAUCUGACACUGCUGGGGGACAGUGAGUCGAUGCAAUGAGUCUGAGAGACAGCCUCCCUCCUAGCCCAGGAUGCUGCAAGGCCUCUGCCACCCGAGCCGGGGGUGGACUCUGAAACGAGACGUGGCCUCUUUGAAAAGGAAGUUCUUUAAAUUCUCU